UACGUAGGUGGCGAGCGUUAAUCGGAAUUACUGGGCGUAAAGUGUGCGCAGGCGGCGUCGCAAGUCGAGUGUGAAAGCCCCGGGCUUAACUUGGGAAUUGCGCUCGAAACUACGGUGCUGGAGUAUGGCAGAGGAAGGUGGAAUUCCACGUGUAGCGGUGAAAUGCGUAGAGAUGUGGAGGAACACCGAUGGCGAAGGCAGCCUUCUGGGCCAAUACUGACGCUCAUGCACGAAAGCGUGGGGAGCAAACAGG
rnacentral:rRNA from 1 species